GGCCGGCUGGCCUAAUGGUAAGGCGUUGCUCUCCUAAAGCAAAGAUUGCAGGUUCGAUCCCUGCGUCGGUCG
rfam:Aspergillus fumigatus Af293 chromosome 6, whole genome shotgun sequence.